UGAAGAGGGGAUACGCUACCCAGAUGGAGUCGGGAUUGGAGAAUACUCAACUGAAUGGUCCACGCCACCAUCACCAAAACAACACCUUGAGAAAGACUUGAACUGACCUUAACUGUACUUUCGAAGCCGCCUUUCCCAUAAACCUCAUAUGUCGGGCCUGGCCUGAAGAAGCCCAACACAAACUACAAGCCUGAGCCUGGCCCAACGUCCAAAAGGUUUAUUUUCUCAAGCCCAAGCCCAACCACGAAGCCCAACACAAACUACAAUCGCAAAGCCUGAAAGCGUGGCCCGCAUGUUGUUUUUUCCGGUGCGCGUACAUGUAAGCCCGCCCGAAAAGUUGCAAAAAUAGAAGCCCGGCCCAAUCCGCCCCGGAUAUUCUUUUGGGCCGCAGAACAGAACCCAAGCCCGGCCCGAAAGGCCACGUCCCUGAGCCUAAGGACUGAUUUGUGCGAGCCCAACAAGCCCAAUAGCUGCGCGAGUAUUUUGUUUCCACUCCGUCUGAACAUAUCAAUGGUAGUCCCUUCGUCUCAAAAAAAAUAAAAAAAUCAAUGGUAGUCCCCCGCCGCACCUAAGCCGCCGCCGGUGAACUCGACGGGAACCACCCUUCACGCCCCUGCUUCUCUGCGGCUGGCCUUCGUGGACCCUACCAAUCUACCGCCCACCAUGGCGUCUGCUCGCUUUCUGCGACCUUUUAUCCCCAGUCCAACCACAAGCGCACACCCCUCGCCUCCCCCUUCCCCUCCAGCAACGGCCGCACCCGCCGGCCGGGGGUAUUUAGCCUGCGGUCGCCAGUUCGUCUGCGCACUUAAUCUGGUUCGGGCAAUAGUUGCAUUUUUAAAUGACAGCGGAUAGAAGACACCGAAGACAAGUAUUGCCUGUGAUAUGGCACUGUAAUGACCGCCUGGAGUAUGAGAUGGAGGAGGAAGAAGAACCUGGUCAAAAGUUUGGAGCGGCAAAAGGCGAACUACAUUUAUAAGAUGCGUACAUAUCAUAUUACUUGAUGUCUCAGUAGCAGUAUCAUUAUUCAGUGAUGUUCACUUCCUUUUUUCUGAACCGCGUUGUUAUUUCCUCGAUGUCUUCUGAACACUGACUCUAUGUUCCCUUCCCAAAAGCAGGAGAAAACAUGUAUGGAUUUAUAAAGACAGUUAGAAGGAACUGAAAACAUUGGCUGCGACAUGCCGCUAUGUUGAACCCCUGAGUAUGAUCUGUCGGCUCCGGAUUGAUGGUCGAUGGCAGCACAUGUGUCUUUGGCAACGGGCAUACGCUACAGUAUCCAAAAUACAGGUAUGUACAAAUACAAGGUUGUAAAAGACCUCUUUCCUACACAAAUGCAAAAGCGCAAGUUGACGAGAUAUGAAUCACCUACCUUCUUUUAUAUCCUGGUGGUGUGGUUUCUUUGUAUCGAGUGUGGCACGGCGCUUGCCGGGUAAAGAAGGCACUACCAGUUGCCGACUCCUCGGGAGUUCUUUGGCGUCGAGCGCGGCAAGCAGCAGGGGGAGAGCAGCCGCUGCUGUAGCUGCUUUUUAUUAUUGCUCUUGGGAUGAAGCAGCUGUUUCUGCGCUAGAUUUGGAUGGAUACACAGCAAAGCAGAAACAGGCUGUGAGAUUAUAAGGACGAAAUGUGUGGCGGACCCUAGCAGAAAAAAAGAAAAAGAAAUGUGUAGUGGAGAAGAACCAACUUCUCUUCAGUUGGACAACUAGUUACAGCGUCUUGUUUUCUCAAACGAAGACUAUCAGUUUGUUGAGAAUCUUCGCCAAGCUGUAAAUUCGUAUUUAUAUUUCGUUUGAGUAAACCGAGUUCUAUGCAUAUGUGUCUGAUUUGCUUUAUUCGUAAAAGGUGGUGAAAUAGAGAGAAAAGAGGUGUUUAUUAUAUA